GAAAAGGGCUGUAGCUCAGUGAAAGUGUCUCUGCUUGCUAUGCAGAAGGUCCAAGGCUCAAUCCCUGGCAUUUUCA
rnacentral:tRNA from 1 species